AAGAAGAUUAUUCCCAAAUCAUCAGAGGGUCAAUUCUCGUUCUGUGAAGCUGUGAAGAGAUAAAAAUAAUAUCAUUUCAGUUUUCACAGCGUUUUUUUCAUUUUAUCACUUCACAGGCACCCCUAAGGCGAUUCUCAAACUCAAUGUGAUAAAUCCUUGAAAAAGUUUGUUCUAAAAAGUACUAAAUAAUUAUAAUAAUAUGUCACUUUAAUUUAAUUUUUUAAUUUUCAAAAUGCGUUUUUUUUAUUUCAAAAUUUGUUUUCAUAAAAUGUCAAGAAAUUAUGAAAAAUAAUACCAUCUGUGGAUAAAAGAAAUGAAAAAAGUAAGAAGAAGACGACAAAAAUCAAACCAAGAAUUUAGCGCAUUGUUGGACUUGGACCUAUUCAUACAGCAUUGUAUUGCUUUUUUACGCGUACUUUUUACCAAUAUUAAGUAUUGGGUUGUACAAUUUAUGUAGCACCGUUGAUACGACGUUUUUAUUGCAUAUGUAUAAUUGAAACUAAUGUUAACAAACAUGUAUUUAAUAGCAUUGAUUAAAACUCAA